UACGUAGGGUGCGAGCGUUAAUCGGAAUUACUGGGCGUAAAGCGCACGUAGGCGGCUUUGUAAGUUAGAGGUGAAAGCCCGUGGCUCAACUCCGGAAUUGCCUUUAAGACUGCAUCGCUAGAAUUGUGGAGAGGUAAGUGGAAUUCCGAGUGUAGAGGUGAAAUUCGUAGAUAUUCGGAAGAACACCAGUGGCGAAGGCGACUUACUGGACACAUAUUGACGCUGAGGUGCGAAAGCGUGGGGAGCAAACAGG
rnacentral:rRNA from 1 species